UUAGUCAGUGCUUCUCUUAAAAAAAAGGAAAAAAUUGGUUACUAAUCUCUGAGCAUUGAAAGUUUUAGACGAAAGGUACUGAUCUCUCAUUGCAAUUUCAUUUUUUUCAUUGCAAAGAAUUCAUUUUCAUUGCUGUUAGAAGAACAGCAGGUGGAAAGAUGAAAAUUGGAACUUGUAAAAUGACCUAGACUUUAAAAAAACUGACAUUUCUGAAAGACCUAUUUAAUUGUACUUUGAAAAUACAAACCUGAGGAUCAGCCUGCACUACACCGUGGCAGCUUGGGAUCCUGGUCUGGUGCUAGCAGUGGUUCAGUGAAUGCGUUGCAGAAUCAUGAAGGUGAUAACUCUCAUCAUGUUGGCCCUGAACUCAAGUAGCAAAAUAGAUGGAAAUUCUAAAAUUAUGAAUGAUAUAAUGCAGUGAGAAAUUGUUCCAUAUGCCCUGGCAGUGGCUCAGAGCCAGUCAAUGAAGCUGAAAAGAUUUGAACUGCUGUUCAGAACAGUUACUUAACAGCCUAAUUCACCUGACAUCCCUGCCCUAUCCCUAUUAGGUGGUGGUUUGUGAAUUUGAGAAUUGUAAACCAGCAGCUCAGCCGUGAGAAUCCUGUGAUGGGUGGCUUGACCUAAAAGACUUAGAAGGAAUUCUGAUAGUUCAACAUUUGUUUCAGCAGUGACACCCUUCCUUAUCUUCUCCCUAGUUUAUCACUGACAUCUUCUCAAGAGCUGGAAUCCUUAAUGACUAAACCCCUUCUCACUGCAUCUUAAUCUGUGAUCUGUAUCUGCCCUGAUCAGCAUCUGGACCCCUGGUUUCAGAUGCCAGUGGGAACAAGUCUGUUCUGAUCCCUUAUUUUCUCAAGGCAUCUGUAAAGCACAGCUGUACAUGGUGCAAGCCCGUGCACGUGAAAACGUUUGUGCAAUAGCAGGGAUGUGAAACCGGCAUGAAACACUUGGCUGGACAGGGUACUGCAUGAAGUGGGAAGCUGAAGUUACUUUCCUGAGAGAGACAACUGUUCCUCAACAUUUCAUACCACUGAAAUGUGGCAUGAAAUGGCCACUUCUGUGGCCUCUGUAAGAACAGACAUCUAGACAUAAGUAUAAUUAGAGUGUUUGGUAUAUUUAAAAGAAAAACCCCAAAAUACAACAAACUGCAAUAUGGGAGGGCUGGUCUCAUUUUUAGCUGUUAAGAAGGAACUUGUAGUUGUCUGUCAGUUACUGGAUAUGUAAUCUGGUAUACUACUAAGACUCACACGAUGAGCUCAUGAAAUCACAAUU
rnacentral:lncRNA from 1 species